UGUAUUUUGAAGUGUCUGGUUUUAUAUCCAAGGUUUCUCAGGAUUGGAGUUUGGGGAUCCUGGGAGUGUGUUUCAUGUGAAGAUCUUUUUCUUGGAGGAAAUUCAUCAUUAAUAGCUGGGUGGAUUCCGGUGCAGCUGAAGUGUCUGAUACCAAGGGGAAAAAAAAAAAGGCUAUAACCCAGCUCUCUACAGCAGUGCACUGAAUAGUGAUGUGUGAUGUGAAGCAAGGUGAGGGGAAUCAUGUUCACUUCACCACAGACACUAGAGCUUACAGUCAAGGAACAGUUUGCUGAUGUGUGUUAAUGAAUGCAACAGCAAGCUGAAUCUGAGGCAAAAGGACUGGCUAACGUGGUGAUGCCUGAGCCACCUCCAGAGAGGGCAAAACACAGUGCAGAUGUGAAAAAUGUAAUAAUAAAGGUGCUCAGGUACCAUGAAAAUGCAAAAAGAGGCAAAUAGUAUCUAGUCAGACAGAUGGCAUAUUUAAAAGUGAGAGGAGACAGAUGCUGAAGAAGCGCUUGUUUUCUUCCUUCCUCUGUGUAAAAUGGUAUAGCAAAAUCUACCUCUCCUUUCUACUUCCUUGUUUUUCAACUUCUCACCAUCCUCAGAAUACUUUAAAUUAUGAGAGCUGAGAAGGUAUAGUCUUUCAUAUAUGAUUCCCAUGUUUUGGGAAAUAAAAAAUUGACAGUUACCAGUACACGCCUUUGUCAGUAUCACCAACUAAGAAUAAUUUAGCCCUUCUGUUCCCUCAGAUCAAU